AUUGAACGCUGGCGGCAUGCCUUACACAUGCAAGUCGAACGGCAGCGGGGGAGAAGCUUGCUCUUCCUGCCGGCGAGUGGCGAACGGGUGAGUAAUACAUCGGAACGUGCCCUGUAGUGGGGGAUAACUAGUCGAAAGAUUAGCUAAUACCGCAUACGACCUGAGGGUGAAAGUGGGGGACCGCAAGGCCUCAUGCUAUAGGAGCGGCCGAUGUCUGAUUAGCUAGUUGGUGGGGUAAAGGCCUACCAAGGCGACGAUCAGUAGCUGGUCUGAGAGGACGAUCAGCCACACUGGGACUGAGACACGGCCCAGACUCCUACGGGAGGCAGCAGUGGGGAAUUUUGGACAAUGGGCGAAAGACUGAUCCAGCAAUGCCGCGUGUGUGAAGAAGGCCUUCGGGUUGUAAAGCACUUUUGUCCGGAAAGAAAUGGCUCUGGUUAAUACCUGGGGUCGAUGACGGUACCGGAAGAAUAAGGACCGGCUAACUACGUGCCAGCAGCCGCCGUAA
rnacentral:rRNA from 1 species